rnacentral:rRNA from 1 species
GCUGACACGAACCAAUACAAACAUAUAAUAUAUACAAAACAAAACAUUUGAUUAACCAAGUAGAUGUGAUCGAACAGUAAACUAAACAACAUCAGUACCGCAAGGGAAAAUAUUAAGCAACAAACAGCAAAGACUAACCCUUGUACCUUUCGCAUUAUGGUUUAGCAAGAAACAAAAGACAAGAAGAAUCAUAGCCUUCACCCCGAAACCAGAUGAGCUACUUUAAAGCAGCCUAAUGGGCGCACCCUUCUCUGUAGCAAAAGAGUGGGAAGACUUAAAAGUAGCGGUGAAACGCCUAUCGAAUCUGGAGAUAGCUGGCUACCCAAAAAAGAAUUUAAGUUCAACCCUAAAAUUAAACAAUAAUAUCUUAUUAUCCUUAGGGUAAAUCAAUAGGGGUACAGCUCUAUUGAAACAGGAUACAACCUGAAUUUGAGAGGAAAAUCACAACCAUAAACCAGUAGGCCUUAAAGCAGCCAACCAACAAAAUAUCGUUAAAGAAUUCAAUUAAAAAUCUAAACAUCAAAUAAAAACUCCAAAAAAACUAAAGGUAAACCCAUACUAAUGGGUAUAAUUAUGCUAGAACUAAUAAUAAGACAACCUCUCUAUAUGCACCCAUCCGCUAGACCCAGAUAAACUACUAGCAAUUAACAGACCACAAUAGGCAAAAACUACCCAAUACACAUCUAAAACAAACUGUGAACCCGACACAGGCGCAUUAUAAAGAAAGAUUAACUAUUAUAAAAGGAACUCGGCAAACAAAGAUCCCAACUGUUUAACAAAAACAUAACCUUUAGAAAAACAAAUAUUAAAGGCAACGCCUGCCCGGUGAAUAAUUAAACGGCCGCGGUACCCUAACCGUGCAAAGGUAGCAUAAUCAUUUGUCUACUAAUUAUAGACCUGUAUGAAAGGCAAAAUGAGGAUCUAACUGUCUCUUAUAAUAAAUCAAUUAAACUGAUCUCCUAGUAAAAAAGCUGGGAUAACACAAUAAGACCAGAAGACCCUGUGAAGCUUAAACUAAACUAUUAAACCAAAUAAUAACUACUUUUGGUUGGGGCGACCUUGGAAAAAAAAAGAACUUCCAAUACAAUGAUUAUACUCAUAUAAAACAGGCCGACAAGCCAACAAACGACCCAGCAUAGCUGAUAAUUGAACCAAGUUACUCCAGGGAUAACAGCGCAAUCUUCUUCAAGAGCCCAUAUCAAAAAGAAGGUUUACGACCUCGAUGUUGGAUCAGGACAUCCUAAUGGUGCAGCCGCUAUUAAGGGUUCGUUUGUUCAACGAUUAAUAGUCCUACGUGAUCUGAGUUCAGACCGGAGCAAUCCAGGUCGGUUUCUAUCUAUUAAUAGCCCUAUCCGGUACGAAAGGACAGAUAGAGCAAAGCCAAUACUACAAGCACGCUUUAAUAAAGAUUAAUACUAUAUCAACCAUCACUACCACAAACCAAGAUAAGGUUAAUUAAGAACACUCUUAAUAUCU